GUGAGGAAUAUUGGUCAAUGGGCGGGAGCCUGAACCAGCCAAGUCGCGUGAAGGAAGAAGGAUCUAUGGUUCGUAAACUUCUUUUGCAGGGGAAUAAAGUGCAGGACGUGUCCUGUUUUGUAUGUACCCUGAGAAUAAGGAUCGGCUAACUCCGUGCCAGCAGCCGCGGUAAUACGGAGGAUCCGAGCGUUAUCCGGAUUUAUUGGGUUUAAAGGGUGCGUAGGUGGUUUGAUAAGUCAGCGGUGAAAGUUUGCAGCUUAACUGUAAAAAUGCCGUGGAAACUGUCGGACUUGAGUGUAAAUGAGGUAGGCGGAAUGCGUGGUGUAGCGGUGAAAUGCAUAGAUAUCACGCAGAACUCCGAUUGCGAAGGCAGCUUACUAAGCUACAACUGACACUGAAGCACGAGAGCGUGGGGAUCAAACAGGAUUAGAAACCCUGGUAGUCC
rnacentral:rRNA from 1 species